GCCCGGGUAGCCCAAUGGCAGAGGCUACGACCUUAAAAGUCGUGAGAUACGGGUUCGAAUCCCGUUCCGGGCA
rnacentral:tRNA from 1 species